CACGUACUGUGCGAACGUUAUUCGGAAUCACUGGGCUUAAAGGGUGCGUAGGCGGACAUGCAGGUCAGAUGUGAAAUCCCACGGCUCAACCGUGGAACGGCAUUUGAAACCGUGUGUCUUGAGCAAGCUAGGGGUAUGCGGAACUUCCAGUGGAGCGGUGAAAUGUGUUGAUAUUGGAAGGAACACCGAUGGCGAAAGCAGCAUACUGGGGCUUGACUGACGCUGAGGCACGAAAGCUAGGGGAGCGAACAGG
rnacentral:misc_RNA from 1 species